UACGUAGGGCGCAAGCGUUGUCCGGAAUUAUUGGGCGUAAAGAGCUCGUAGGCGGUUUGUCGCGUCUGCUGUGAAAACUCGGGGCUUAACUCCGGGCCUGCAGUGGGUACGGGCAGACUAGAGUGCGGUAGGGGAGACUGGAAUUCCUGGUGUAGCGGUGAAAUGCGCAGAUAUCUGGAGGAAUACCGGUGGCGAAGGCGGCAUCCUGGACCGGCAUUGACGCUGAGGAGCGAAAGCCAGGGGAGCAAAGCGGG
rnacentral:rRNA from 1 species